rnacentral:sRNA from 1 species
UAGGAACACUAUUGGGGUGAUAGGCACCACCUCCUCCCCAAAGGCUCCUGGGUCAACCCACAGCUUCCCUCCUGGGGCCACAGAUGGCCCACUGGCCCUCCCUGGACAGCUACAGGGAAACUCCACCAUGGAGCCACCCUCCUGGCCUUCCCGUACUGAGGACCCCACCGGCCACGUCAUGUGGCAUGCCACCCGUUCCACCCGGGAAACACUUCUGAAUCCCACGUGGCUGCGAAAUGAGGACAGUGGACUCUCCGGUUCUGUAGACCUGCCAUUGACCUCCACCCUCACAGCUCUGAAGACCCCCGCCUGUGGUGACAUCUCAGGAGAUUCACAGCAGGAAUCUGUGCAGGAGUUGGAUCUCGGCCGUGACAGCCCUGUGAGCUUGCAGAGCUAGCCUGCCUCUGGAUUUCAUCCAAAUGAGCUGUUAAAUGUGAUCUUCCUCAAUGCAUUUCCUCUGCUAAGCAGCACAGGCUCUAAGACUAAACUCUUAGCCCAUUUCCUGUCUCCAUUGGGAGGAUCAUGGUCUCCAAUGUGACCAGCACCGGCUUCCACCUGGCAUGGGAGGCGGAUCUUGCUAUGGACUCCACCUUCCAGCUCACUCUGACUUCCACCUGGAGCCCUGCUGUGGUCCUAGAGACCUGGAACACGAGUGUGACACUGUCGGGGCUGGAGCCUGGGGUCUUGCACCUGGUUGAGAUCAUGGCCAAAGCAUGUGGGAAAGAAGGUGCCAGAGCUCAUCUGAAAGUGAGGACAGCAGCCCGGAAGCUCAUUGGAAAGGUCAGAAUCAAAAAUGUCAGGUACUCAGAAUCCUUUCGC